rnacentral:rRNA from 1 species
UACGGGGGGGGGCAAGCGUUGUUCGGAAUUACUGGGCGUAAAGGGCCAGUAGGCGGCCAACUAAGUCGGACGUGAAAUCCCCAGGCUCAACCUGGGAACUGCGUCCGAUACUGGAUGGCUUGAAUCGGGAGAGGGAUGCAGAACUCCAGGUGUAGCGGUGAAAUGCGUAGAUAUCUGGAGGAAUACCGGUGGCGAAGGCGGCAUCCUGGACCGACAUUGACGCUGAACGGCGAAAGCUAAGGGGAGCGAAACAGGG